GGACCCGACUGCUAUCAAAGUGGGACUAACCCAUGCGAGUCAACAUAGCAAUAUGUGGCAUACGGCUCAUUAACACGUAUUCAACAUGCCCAGGGGACGUGAAUAACCUCGGGAAACUGAGGAUAAACCGCGAUAGGUCAUCACUUCUGGAAUGGGUAAUGACUUAAAUCUAUAUGGCCCCUGGAUUGGACUGCGGCCAAUCAGGCUGUUGGUGAGGUAAUGGCCCACCAAACCUGUAACCGGUACGGGCUCUGAAAGGAGGAGCCCGGAAAUGGGCACUGAAACAAGGGCCCAGGCCCUAUGGGGCA
rnacentral:rRNA from 1 species